rnacentral:rRNA from 1 species
AUUGAACGCUGGCGGCAUGCCUUACACAUGCAAGUCGAACGGCAGCGCGGACUUCGGUCUGGCGGCGAGUGGCGAACGGGUGAGUAUACAUCGGAACGUACCCUGUUGUGGGGGAUAACUAGUCGAAAGAUUAGCUAAUACCGCAUACGACCUGAGGGUGAAAGUGGGGGACCGCAAGGCCUCACGCAGCAGGAGCGGCCGAUGUCUGAUUAGCUAGUUGGUGGGGUAAAGGCCCACCAAGGCGACGAUCAGUAGCUGGUCUGAGAGGACGAUCAGCCACACUGGGAAUUAGACACGGCCCAGACUCCUAAGGGAGGCAGCAGUGGGGAAUUUUGGACAAUGGGGGCAACCCUGAUCCAGCAAUGCCGCGUGUGUGAAGGAGGCCUUCGGGGUGUAAAGCACUUUUGUCCGGAAAGAAAUCGCGCUGGUUAAUACCUGGCGUGGAUGACGGUACCGGAAGAAUAAGCACCGGCUAACUACGUGCCAGCCGCCGCAGUAA